CCUGACGCCCCCACUUCCCUUCGCAUCCCAGACACUCUGGUCCAGGAGGUGCAGAGUUCAGGGCCUGCAGGGCACGUCCCCCCACGAAGCCAUCCUUGGGCGAGCACCAAGAAAGCUGGCUGAUGAAUGGGCUUCCACCCAGGGGUCCAGACAGCUGCCUGGCCUGCUGACUCAGCUCGGGAAAGCUGCCGAGGCAGAAACUUCUCUAAGAGCAGAAAAAUAAGGCGCAAGGCCCUGGUGCGGUCUGUGGUGAAGGAGCGAGGUUUGAGAGAGGCCUUGAACCAUGGAGGACCCUGGAGGGGCCUGGAGCUCCCAGCCGGGCCUGCUCCAGCCCAGGAGGGAACAGCAGCAGCACAAGUCCGUGUGUCCCGGAUGGAGGCUUCAUUUGUCCAGAGCCCUCCAGGCGCCUUUGGGAGCUAAGAUGUGGGUCUCCCGGUUCCCAUGUGAGGAUUCCGAGGCCCCGUGGAAACCCAUAAGGACAUCCAGCAAGGUGAACGGUUGUUUGCUAGGGAGAACAUCUGCUGCGGUCCUCACGCUCCAUCCCAGAGGUCAGUCUCCUGCAGUUAAUCCUAAUACAAGGAAGAAAAAAAAGAACUAA
rnacentral:lncRNA from 10 species